AUUGAACGCUGGCGGCAUGCCUUACACAUGCAAGUCGAACGGUAACAGGGAGCUUGCUCCGCUGACGAGUGGCGAACGGGUGAGUAAUGUAUCGGAACGUACCUUUUAGUGGGGGAUAACGUAGCGAAAGUUACGCUAAUACCGCAUAUUCUCUGAGGAGGAAAGCAGGGGACCUUCGGGCCUUGCGCUAAUAGAGCGGCUGAUAUCAGAUUAGCUAGUUGGUGAGGUAAAGGCUCACCAAGGCGACGAUCUGUAGCGGGUCUGAGAGGAUGAUCCGCCACACUGGAACUGAGACACGGUCCAGACUCCUACGGGGGGCGGCAGUGGGGAAUUUUGGACAAUGGGGGCAACCCUGAUCCAGCCAUGCCGCGUGAGUGAAGAAGGCCUUCGGGUUGUAAAGCUCUUUCGGCCGGGAAAAAAUCGCAUGGGCUAAUACCCUGUGUGGAUGAUGGUACCGGAAUAAGAAGCACCGGCUAACUACGUGCCAGCCGCCGCAGUA
rnacentral:rRNA from 1 species